rnacentral:rRNA from 1 species
CUAACAUAUAUGCGAGUGUUUUGAAAGGGAAACGAUUGAAGUCAGUCGUACCUGCGGGUAAUCAGCCUUUUGGGCAUGAUUCUGUGGAGCGUGAGGAGUUAAUCGCCUUCAUGCCUAUAUAUUCGUGUAC